rnacentral:sRNA from 1 species
UAGGAGCCAAAGCUAGGGGGCCAAAUGCUUGCGUAAACGUUACUGCUGUUGAGAGAAACAUUGCAGUCGCUUUCCAGAAAGGGCUCCAAUUCUAUUUUGUCAGCAAAAUAUCAUUAUUUCCGGUUCCAGCGGGAUGAAAACAGUCAUGAUAUCCAGCGUAUCCACAAAGAGUACACUCACCAAGGGAUCGCUGGGAUUAUUAGAAGGCUGUGGGACCAAGACACGAUCUGAACGCUUAGACGACUUGACAAAAUGAUGGGAGCCAACAUCCGUCAUAAUCUCCGUGCCAGGGUAGAUCUUGGUGUCCAACUCCUUCUCAAUCCUAAACAAGGUUAAGUCAGUGACGAAUGGUAAACAUAUUAAUCAUCUCCAAUGUGUCAAACUGACUGCCGGAGGGC